GACGAACGCUGGCGGCGUGCCUAAUACAUGCAAGUUGAGCGAUGAAGAUUGGUGCUUGCACCAAUUUGAAGAGCAGCGAACGGGUGAGUAACGCGUGGGGAAUCUGCCUUUGAGCGGGGGACAACAUUUGGAAACGAAUGCUAAUACCGCAUAACAACUUUAAACAUAAGUUUUAAGUUUGAAAGAUGCAAUUGCAUCACUCAAAGAUGAUCCCGCGUUGUAUUAGCUAGUUGGUGAGGUAAAGGCUCGCCAAGGCGAUGAUACAUAGCCGACCUGAGAGGGUGAUCGGCCACAUUGGGACUGAGACACGGCCCCAACUCCUACGGGAGGCAGCAGUAGGGAAUCUUCGGCAAUGGACGAAAGUCUGACCGAGCAACGCCGCGUGAGUGAAGAAGGUUUUCGGAUCGUAAAACUCUGUUGGUAGAGAAGAACGUUGGUGAGAGUGGAAAGCUCAUCAAGUGACGGUAACUACCCAGAAAGGGACGGCUAACUACGUG
rnacentral:rRNA from 1 species